AUCUUAACCACACUUGUUACUUUCAAGGCAAACAUCAGUCAGAAGCGUCGUAUUUUAGUAUGGACCUAAUUAAGCCAAAGUCACACGGAUUUCAGCUUGUUUGUCCUUUGGUCGGCCUGUCCGUCUGGCCCUACAGGAAAUCCUGGAUGACUCUGGUGCGAUCAGAGCGGCAGAAUGGCAGAAUGACUAGUUGUGCUUGUCAAAUCUUAUUUUUAACACACUCCAACACAUGCUGACCUCAGAGUUUUCAAUGUAGAUCUGUGGGUGUGCAGAUGUGUUCCGGGCUGCUUCGAUGGUUUGUCGUGAGCUUUGGCGCCCAGAAUUCAAUCCCGCGGUUACUAUGGAACACGACAAAAGUCAAGCAUCUGCUGUUGAUCGAUACUGGACAGCCUGAAUUUAGUGACCCCGGGCUAAUACGAUCCCUGCUUGCUCCAGACAAGUCCAGCCAGCACGAUAAAUCCAAAACGGAGAAAAGGCGGCAGAUACACCAGCUCCCAAAUCUGCAAGCACCCCCCGCCCAAAGAUUCUGCAGAUGCAUACAAGAACUAGUCCCAGCUAUCUAAAAGACUUGAUCAUCCACUACACGCCAACCGAACCGCUUCGCUCUUCUACAUCUGCCCGCUUGGUGGUCCCACGCACGAAAGGUAAAGCACAAAGGUU